GUCUACGGCCAUACCACCCUGAACGCGCCUGAUCUCGUCUGAUCCCAGAAGCUAAGCAGGGUCGGGCCAGGUUAGUACUUGGAUGGGAAAAUAAGUCCAUCUUAUGCUUGAACUGGUGGUCCCUGGCU
rnacentral:rRNA from 1 species